rnacentral:rRNA from 1 species
CCUACGGGAGGCUGCAUUAGGGAAUCUUCCACAAUGGGCGAAAGCCUGAUGGAGCAACGCCGCGUGGGUGAAGAAGGUCUUCGGAUCGUAAAACCCUGUUGUUAGAGAAGAAAGUGCGUGAGAGUAACUGUUCACGUUUCGACGGUAUCUAACCAGAAAGCCACGGCUAACUACGUGCCUGCAGCCGCGGUAAUACGUAGGUGGCAAGCGUUAUCCGGAUUUAUUGGGCGUAAAGGGAACGCAGGCGGUCUGUUAAGUCUGAUGGUAAAGCCUUCGGCUUAACCGGAGUAGUGCAUUGGAAACUGGUGGACUUGAGUGCAGAAGAGGAGAGUGGAACUCCAUGUGUAGCGGUGAAAGUCGUAGUUAUAUGGAAGAACACCAGUGGCGAAAGCGGCUCUCUGGUCUGUAACUGACGCUGAGGUUCGAAAGCGUGGGUAGCAAACAGGAGUAGAUACACGUGUAGUC